rnacentral:lncRNA from 1 species
UCAUGCAAUAUUUUAAUCUUAUUUUCAACAGGAAUAAGAAAAUUGGCAAGUGAUAGAGAAUGAGACCAAUGAGGACCACACAUACAUAAAUCCUAUUAAAGAUGUCAUUAAAGGCCUGGAGAGAAACAAGACCAUUCUGUACUUCCCACCAUGUGAGAACUCAGCUCUUGCCACAUGUACCAACUAGGUAUUGUGUUGGAAAAUUAGAGCAGCCCUCACCAAACAGUCAACUUGCCAGUACCCUGACCUUGGACUUCACUUCUUUAUCAAUUAUAAAACUCAGGUGCUCUAUCCUGGUGAUGUCUGACACUGUCAUCAGUACCAGCUCCUUGGAAUUCAAUGAUACAUCUCAAAACCAAGAUUAAAUUUGGUGGAGGAAUC